rnacentral:lncRNA from 1 species
GGAAUUUAUGUAUGGAGAACUGUGGUACAGGGUCAGAUCUUGGGGGAAGACAGAAACCAGCAGGAUCCUGUCCCCAGCUGUUCCUUGGUUCUUCUGUGGUGAUGGCUCUGAGAGGGUCCCUCUUGGCCCAGGAAUUUGAAUAGAAGUGGUGGUUUUACCUGUGCUCACAGUUGUGUCAGCACUCCUGGGAGACCAGCUCUCUCC